UAGCUUUCUCAAAACACAGUUUCAGAUAGCUCGAAUAGUCAAUUAAGUAGUAGCUUUCUCGAAACAGAGUUUCAGAUAGCUCGAAUAGUCAAUCUAGUGGUAGCUAGAUGAACUAGAUUAUAGAGGACAAGUGGUCCAUCUAGCGGUGAAUAGACGAACUAGCGUAUGAAGGACGAUGAGUCCUUCUAGCGGCCUAUAAGCGCGUUCGGCAAUAGCAUCCGAGAGCGGACGGAUAUUUUAUCCACGUGACCACAGAUAUGUCGGAUUUUACAGAUUUAUCUGUAAUAAACGAACGGUACAGAGCUUCCUGAGCUUCAGCUGUUAUGUCAGUUCUUUGAUAUACGCAUGUGGCGCCCUUUGUGGCUAAAUGAAAUGAAAUCAUUAGUAAAACAUAAUCAAUAUUCAUAAUAUACACUUUUACUGUCUUGCCUACUGAAGAGGCGUUAGAAAUUUAUGCUUUUUUUAACUAUACUAAGAAGUUUUGAGUUGAUGUUGUUUUCAAUAUUGAAAAAUAGGGAAAAAUUCUGAAGAAGUAUAAAAAAACGGAUACUUAAUUCCUCUACAAAAAUGAAAAGAUAUAAAAAGAAAAAUGGUCUGAUCUAGUAGAAAGUAUAUUUCCAAGGAGGAAUCACUUCUAAAAUCUCCAUUCGUUUCAUGAAGACAAAAAUGUUUCAAUGGAAGUUUAAGAAGGAAAAAAGGAAUUUUCAUGUCAAAUUGAUCCAAGUGAUUUGGAAGAUGAUAUCUUUUUAUUUUCAUCAGUAAUUUAAUGGACUAUGGUGCCAAGGGAAUGUAUGAUGGGAUAACUUAUACUGCCAUAGGAUAAAUAAAUGAUAUGUAAAAUCAAUGCAGUAUUUGAUAAUAAUAAUAAUUUAUUUGCACACAAGAAAUUCAUAAAAACAUACGCCAUCAAAAGUUUACAUGGCUUGUCAAUCAAAAAAUCUUAAACUAUAAAUGAGUAGUAUUGAAAGUCAUUGUAAUGAAAACAUGAAUAUGUUUGUAGUUACAAAUUAUCAAAUAAUAUUUACAAAAAUGAUUCCUAAAUAAAUCACUCAACCUGUA